UGCACGGCCCGGGGAGGAAUCCCAGGAAUGAUGGAAUUCUCCUCCUAGCAGGUGGGGAGAGCGGGGCGGCCGCAUUGGCCGGGCCCGGCUAUGAGCUCAGCAUAAUUAGGGUAAUGAGCGCUGACAUCACAUCCUCGCAGGAGCAACACAGGUACUUCUGUUACAACAGACAGGAAGGCACGAAGUUGCCUGAAGAGAAGCCCAAGAUACACUAAACUCUGCACAAAGAUGACCGAGUUUGUGCCAGAAGCAAACACUUCUUCCAAAGCUAUCACAGAACACCAUUAUUGGUCACAGGCUUAAUAAGAGAAGAGGAAGAUUCCACCCUAUGGAUGUUCCCAUAAGAUGAAGACAGACAAGAUAGCGGGGGAUGGGGGGAGGAAAAAAAAAGAAGAAAAACAGAGUAUCAGUUUAACAAAUUAAAAGCACUCUUUGGCCAUAACUCACUGGUUUUAAUUUGUUGAAGUUUUGUCAAACACCAAUAAAAUGACCCCAACUGGU